rnacentral:rRNA from 1 species
UACGGGGGGGGGCAAGCGUUGUUCGGAAUUACUGGGCGUAAAGGGCUCGUAGGUGGCCAACUAAGUCAGACGUGAAAUCCCCGGGCUCAACCCGGGAACUGCGUCCGAUACUGGAAGGCUUGAAUCCGGGAGAGGGAUGCGGAAUUCCAGGUGUAGCGGUGAAAUGCGUAGAUAUCUGGAGGAACACCGGUGGCGAAGGCGGCAUCCUGGACCGGUAUUGACGCUGAGGCGCGAAAGCCAGGGGAGCAAAGC